AAUAAUAAAAUCUUAAUUCUAAUAGAAUAUUAACAAUACUCUAAUUAGACUAUAAUAAUGUUAAGCAAGCUUAAUCCAAUUAAAAAAAAACCUCAAAGAAAUUUCAAACAAACAAUAAGAAUUCUUAAAGAAACAUUAGAAAGAACACAAAUAUCACUCAAAUACAUCUCAAUUCAAUCUUAAUUUAAUUCUAAUUAAAAUCCUAUUGAACUUCAUUCAAACUUUAGGCCAAAACUAAUUGAAUCUUAAAUCCUAAUAAAAUCCUAAAUCCUAAAUCAAACCCUAAACAAACCUUAAACCAAACUCUAAAUCCUAAAUCAAACCCUAGCCAAAUCCUGAAUCCUAAAUAAAAUCCUAACCAAAUCCUAAACCAAAUCCUAAUCCAAACUCUAAAUCCUAAACCAAACCCUAAU
rnacentral:lncRNA from 1 species